rnacentral:rRNA from 1 species
UACAGAGGGUGCGAGCGUUGUCCGGAAUCACUGGGCGUAAAGGGCGCGUAGGCGGCUUGAUAAGCGUGCGGUGAAAGCCCGGGGCUCAACCCCGGGUCGGCCGUGCGAACUGUCGAGCUGGAGCACUGUAGAGGCAGGUGGAAUUCCGGGUGUAGCGGUGGAAUGCGUAGAGAUCGGAAGGAACAUCAGUGGCGAAGGCGGCUACCUGGACUGAUACUGACGCUGAGGCGCGAGAGCGUGGGGAGCAAACAGG